rnacentral:lncRNA from 1 species
AAAGAAUUAGCAAACAAUAUUAACACACAUGACUUCCUAGAGAAAGGAUAAUCAAUAUUUCACACCUUUAAUCCCAUCACCAAGGUAAACUAGUAAUUAAUUUGCUAACAAAGUUAAAAAAAAACACUUAUCCAUAGGAAGACCGUAACUAACAUAUUAAUGGGUUCUCAUUCCAUUAUAGAUCUUCUAAUUUAUGGGAAAGUUCCUUGAUGUCCAAGAAGCACAAUUAUCAUAUAGUGGAAAUGAUAGAUAAAGUUGAAACUUAACAACUACCGUUAUGUCAUAUUGGCUGUACUCUACUAGCUAGUAACAGGAUAAUAUUUCAAUCCUCUUAAACACACAGAACAACCAUUCAUGAACACAAAAAAUUAUAUGCAUACUAAUCAAAAUUUGAUGG